rfam:Asian citrus Psyllid, Diaphorina citri - Florida Strain, whole genome shotgun sequence.
GCCUAGUUAGCUUGGUUGGUAGCGCGUCUGCCUUGUAAGCGCUAGGCCGUGGGUUCGAUUCCCGCCCGGGGCG